CCUAGGAACAUACUUUGCAUAACCUUAAUAGUCAGAAGGAAUCAAGACACGACAAUUGAGGCUGAAUUCUCAAUGUCCCAACUCAAGUCUUCUUCCUCCGAUCAAGCUUUGGCAGCAGGCUCAUCACCAUCGUCUUCAAUGUCCCAACUCAAGUCUUCUUCCUCCAAUCAAGCUUUGGCAGCAGGCUCAUCAUCAUCAUCUUCAAUGUCCCAACUCAAGUCUUCUUCCUCCUCUGCAACACUCAGCCUCUUUCUCAGAUCAUCCCUACUUGCACUUGGAGUCCCGCCUGGAGUGACUCUCUGAUCGUCGAUGCCGCUAAGAUCCUCAAUCUCAUCCCAACCAAGGUCCUCCUCCUCAGCUGCCGAUGGAUUGCUCAGUGCAGCAGCAGGGUUACUCUCUUUCGAUUUCCCAGGCUCAGCUAUCGCGUUUGAGGCUGAAUUCUCUUGGGGUGCUGACGAAGAAUUUCUGCUGUUUACAUCAGAAACCUUUUCCAAAUGCACAUCCUCUUCGGGCGCAUUUCCUUCAUUUGGGACAAGAGCGACACCCUCACUGCUAUCCUUACCGCCCACAUUCUCCACCUUCUCACCAACAGCUUCAGGAGCUGGACUAACUCGCAAUUCCCCACCCUGAUUCUCCGCCUUCUGUUCUUUCGAUUCUUCAAUGUCUACCUCCGUCUGAUGCAGAUCACUACCCAACUUCCCAAUUUUCUCAUCGGCUCUAUCCUCUGUUUCCUUCCCAUAGGCAUCCUUUGAUUCCACGCUGCGCAUCAUCCCUGAAGCCAAUUCCAUUUCCUCCUCAGAGGAACCAUCCUUCCCCUUCUUCACAGCUUCCCCCAAAUUUCCAUCCUCAACAUUGCCCAUUUGAACUGCCUCUGCAGAAGACACUGCAUUACUCAAUCUACUUCCUUUCUUCAAUUCCUUCUCGCCGUCGACAUCCUCAUCAUCGUCCUCAUCAUAAACGUCCCAACUCAGCUCCUCCUCCUCGCUCGAGAUCGCCC
rnacentral:lncRNA from 1 species